AUGCAUUCCUUGAGAAAUCAAAAGUUGAAAGAUGAUGGUAGCAGUUACACGGACUGGGUCAAUAACUUGAGGAUUAUCCUUAUUGCUGCUCAGAAGAAUUAUGUCCUGGAAGCACCGCUGGGUGCCAGGCCUGCUGCUGGAGCAACACCAGAUGUUAUGAACGUCUGGCAGAGCAAAGCUGAUGACUACUCGAUAGUUCAGUGUGCCAUGCUUUACGGCUUAGAAUCGGGACUUCAACGAUGUUUUGAACGUCAUGGAGCAUAUGACAUGUUCCAGGAGUUGAAGUUAAUAUUUCAAGCAAAUGCCAGGAUUGAGAGAUAUGAAGUCUCCAAUAAGUUCUAUAGCUGCAAGAUGGAGGAGAACAGUUCUGUCAGUGAGCAUAUACUCAAAAUGUCUGGGUAUAAUAAUCACUUGAUUCAGAUGGGAGUUAAUCUUCCAGAUGAUUGCGUCAUUGACAGAAUUCUCCAAUCACUGCCACCAAGCUACAAGAGCUUCGUGAUGAACUAUAAUAUGCAAGGGAUGAACAAGACUAUUCCCGAGCUCUUCGCAAUGCUGAAAGCUGCGGAGGUACAAAUCAAAAAGGAGCAUCAAGUGUUGAUGGUCAACAAGACCACUAGUUUCAAGAAAAAGGGCAAAGGGAAGAAGAAGGGGAACUUCAAGAAGAACAACAAGCAAGUUGCUGCUCAAGAGAAGAAACCCAAGUCUGGACCUAAGCCUGAAACUGAGUGCUUCUACUGCAAGCAAACUGGUCACUGGAAGCGGAACUGCCCCAAGUAUUUGGCG
rnacentral:rRNA from 1 species